AACGUAGGACGCAAGCGUUAUCCGGAGUUACUGGGCGUAAAGGGCAGGCAGGCGGGUCGCUAAGUCGGAUGUGAAAUCUCCCUGGCUUAACCGGGAGAGUGCAUUUGAGACUGUCAACCUGGAGGGCAGCAGAGGAGCGUGGAAUUCCGGGUGGAGUGGUGAAAUGCGUAGAGAUCCGGAGGAACACCAGAGGCGAAAGCGGCGCUCUGGGCUGCACCUGACGCUGAACUGCGAAAGCCAGGGGAGCGAACGGG
rnacentral:rRNA from 1 species